rnacentral:rRNA from 1 species
UACGGGGGGAGCAAGCGUUGUUCGGAUUUACUGGGCGUAAAGGGCGCGUAGGCGGUCAGCACAAGUCAGUUGUGAAAUCUCCGGGCUUAACUCGGAAAGGUCAACUGAUACUGUGCGACUAGAGUGCAGAAGGGGCAACUGGAAUUCUCGGUGUAGCGGUGAAAUGCGCAGAUAUCAGGAGGAACACCGAUUGCGAAGGCAGCUCGCUGGGACGUAACUGACGCUGAGGCGCGAAAGCGUGGGGAGCAAACAGG